AUGUCGAUGACGGCCGGCUGCAGACGGCAGCCGGCGCGACUUGCUUCCGAUGGGGGCGCGCAAGCGCACCCGCUGGGUGUAGCCUCCGGGCAACUUUGGAAAAGUUGGGCAGAGGUUGUUCGCGGUUGUUGGUGCAGACGAUGGCAUCAAGGGUGCCGGGUGCAGACACGGAGUCCGCCGGCUGAUGGGUGCGGGGCCCUGCCGGGCGCAGACGUGGAGUCCGCCGGCUGGUGCUGUCAGGCGCGAACAUGGGGUACGUCGACUGAUGCUGUCGGGCUCGGACGCGGAGUCGGCCGACUGAUGGCGUCGGGCGCGGAUGUGGGGUAA
rnacentral:rRNA from 1 species